CUACAGCCCCAAGCUACACACUAUAGCCCAUAGCCAAACAUAUUACACCAUAAACACAGCACAAGUGAAACCGAAACACAAAACACCACACCACACCACAAUCAGUUCACUCUACACACGCAAUCCCAUGAGCAACCUCAAAACACUUGCACAAUCCUCUUCCUGGCCAUUCUGUCCCCUGUUAUCCCACUUAUGGGGACACCAGAGACAAGUUACAAGAAAAUGCAG